rnacentral:rRNA from 1 species
UACAGAGGUCUCAAGCGUUGUUCGGAUUCAUUGGGCGUAAAGGGUGCGUAGGUGGCGCGGUAAGUCGGGUGUGAAAUUUCGGAGCUUAACUCCGAAACUGCAUUCGAUACUGCCGUGCUUGAGGACUGGAGAGGAGACUGGAAUUUUACGGUGUAGCAGUGAAAUGCGUAGAGAUCGUAAGGGAAGACCAGUGGCGAAGGCGGGUCUCUGGACAGUUCCUGACACUGAGGCACGAAGGCCAGGGGAGCAAACGGG